CCUUGCUCCAUAGAACUGAGCCUGUCACUGCCUGUGGCGAUAUAGAUCCAGUUCUACUCUCUUACAAUAGCACUCGUUGGGAGUAAUUUAUGGGUAAAAUAAAGAACAACAUUCAGACAACAGGAGAAUUCCAGACAGGAAACAAUCAGGACCAGCUAACACCUCUCAACAAAGGAUUCCCCCAGAUCUGCUGACAGCACCGCAGCGGGUGAGGAAUAAGUUUCUCAAGGAGCAGAGGGACCUCGCUGCGACUCUAGGGAGACUUGAACACCAAAAGCGGAGCAGAUGCAGGCAACUGGAUGAGGAAAAAAGGCAUUUUCACCUUCUGAUGAUAAAGAAAUUAGCCCCCAAAGUCACCACUAGUUGUGGGUCCUCCUCUAUCGGAAAAGGAAACUUUCAAGCAGAGUUCUCGGAUGUCCAGUUUUCAUCUCUGGCAUUGAGCAAGAGCAGCUGGAAAAGCCUCGAGACCAAAUUGUCCACCGGACAAGAUGCCACCUUCCACGCAAGAGUCCGAAAUGAAUUUCCACCAAAGUUUUGCAAAGAACCUGGCUCUUCUUUCCCAAACGCUGUGCCAGCCGAUACAUACCAACACCUCCCUGGCAAGAGGCACCUCGCAAAAAGUGGAAGCGACUUGCCAUUCUUCCAUCACACCACAUCAUCCGUAACCCUUUGUGGAACUAACCAAGGAGAUUAAUGCUUGGAUCGGUAAACUAACUUUUGAUACUUGCUGGAAAUGGAUGUAGCUUUAUAUAUAGCUUUGUUAACAUGCACAUUUUCAUAUACCAUGAACCUGGUACCCUCCAGAUCUUUUAAUUUCCGCUUUGAUGAUACAUUACCACUGGCCAUAUUAACCAAGACUGAUGGCAGUCACAGGCAAAAACAUCGAGGAGAAUAGGUUGGGUAUGGCUACAGUACUGGCUUCGAGCCUUUUUCUAAACCCAGCCUCUAUCCCUUAUUACUAGAGAUGGACAAGUUAGCUCAAAAAGGGCCAAAAUUACUUUUUUUAAAAGUUGGAAGCAGCACAUCCAAUUUUCCAAGUCAGUCGUCAUUUGUACAUCACCCACACAUCCUACUCUUGGGUUAAUACGAGAUAAAGUGUAGUCAUUUGAACUGUUUUUAGUUGCAACUUUGAACUUUUUUUGUUGUCUCUUGAAAUACUGUAAACCAUCUUUUGAGUCUAUUACAUGAAAAGUGUGGUUCAAAUGUCCCUUUAGUGUGUGAUUUUCCUUUUUUCGUGUCAGGAGCGACUUGAGAAACUGCAAGUCGCUUCUGGUGUGAGAGAAUUGGCCGUCUGCAAGGAUAUUGCCCAGGGGACGGCCAGAUGUUUUUCCCAUCCUAUGUCCCCGCAUAAGGAGCUGGAGCUGACAGAUGGGAGCUCACCCCGCUCCCUGGAUUCAAACCACUGACUUUUCGGUCAGCAGUCCUGCCGGCACAAGGGUUUAACCUUUAACCUUGUACUAUAUUGACAUGGUCUGAACUUAGGUUUAUGUGCAAUGGUUCCUUGGAAGAAUGGUAUUAAGCAACUAUAUGUUUUAAGCUUGACUAAUGUAUUUUAUGGAUUAUUAUUAAUGGUUUUAAAUGUGUUGCUGUUUUUACUGAUCUGUUUGGCAUUGAAUUUUGCCGGUUGUUGUAAGCCGCCCUGAAUCCACUCGGGUGAGAAGGGCGGGGUAGAAAUGUUGUAAAUAAAAUAUAUAAAUAAAUUAA